UUAUCCUUAUGAUAAAUAAGAACUUAGGUUUUUGUAGAAUUGGGUCCUCUAAGAGUUACAUGGUGAUAUCAACCCACAGCAGCUGGGGGUAAUUUGUUCAUUUUGCUAUAUAUUCUACAUCAGAGCUGAACUUUCAUGCAUACUAUUAUCUGAAGAAGGCAAGAGAUAAAGGUUUACAAUACAAGGUUAUUUUUCACUUGGAGAAUGUUAUUGAUGCCUUGGAGGAAGAAGUUGUAUGAGUGCUGUUUUUAAAUGCCACUGAGGAAGACCAAGAAGGCUGAAACACAUUUGGCAGAAAUAAACAAGCUACAUUGUUUACACACUCUUCAGGUGAAUUCCAACUACAAGAGGAUAAACUUCUGGCAAGGUUUAACACACACAACAACAGCGUGUUUUCUCCACAUGCAUUUUGUGGAAAGUGAACUGUUGAAAGAAUGGAAGUCUGUUUUAUGAGAUUAUAUUUUAUUUGAUUAUUGUUAUCUAUUACUGUGAUUUUAUGAUUGUCACUUGUAUAGGGAAAAUAAAUACUUAUAUUCCUA